rnacentral:rRNA from 1 species
UACGUAGGGUGCAAGCGUUGUCCGGAAUUAUUGGGCGUAAAGAGCUCGUAGGCGGUUUGUCGCGUCUGCUGUGAAAACCCGAGGCUCAACCUCGGGCCUGCAGUGGGUACGGGCAGACUAGAGUGCGGUAGGGGGAGAUUGGAAUUCCUGGUGUAGCGGUGGAAUGCGCAGAUAUCAGGAGGAACACCAAUGGCGAAGGCAGAUCUCUGGGCCGUAACUGACGCUGGAGGAGCGAAAGCAUGGGGAGCGAACAGG